rnacentral:misc_RNA from 1 species
CCAUCCAAGAGAUGGGGGCUGCGUGGGGUGGAAAGCGAUGGAAGGUGUUAUGCCACUGUGUGUGGGAGGGGGAUAGCCUUUCCUCGCCCCUAUAGGAUCAAGCCUCUUAUUAUCAUAAUAUCUGCUCUUGGAACAUUGAUGAAGGUCCAAGCAAGACGGUCAGAUUGCGGAAUCAAAGAGGGCCAGCAGUCUACUACCUUUAGAAGAGGAGUUUAAAAAGGCACUUCAAGUGUUGGCAAGUGGAUAGAAGCAGAGAUGGUAGUGAGAGUGGAAGAAACCUGUGCUGUCCAUCCAGGAGGAGUCUGUCUUCUGCAGUGACUAUGGGAAGCCAGUCCAUCAUCGCAGGUUGCUUCCCCGCCUAAUGGUGGUACCCAUUUAUACUCCUGGGUGGAGAGAGGCAAGCAGGGGUGAAGUGGCCAGCAGCUGGAUCUCGGCUGUGAGAUGGAACAAAAUAACCUGGCAACUUCAGGGUUAACACUGGAAUAAUACUGACAGAACUUGGUGACAUUAAUUGGUUUCUCCUAGCAAUCCUGGCAGGAGGAAUUUCCGUUAUGUUUGCUGCAUCAGAGGCUCUGCUAUAAAAUGCUGACUAACAACAGAGGGCGCUAUAACCAUUCCAUGAAGUCUACUACGUCACACAACGGUAAUGGAAAGAUUAGAGGGAAAACAGAACUGAACACGACCAUAAUGGAACAAUGGUAAUGGAAAGAGGAAAAAAGA